rnacentral:rRNA from 1 species
AUUGAACGCUGGCGGCAGGCCUAACACAUGCAAGUCGAACGAGUGGCGGACGGGUGAGUAAUGUCUGGGAAACUGCCUGAUGGAGGGGGAUAACUACUGGAAACGGUAGCUAAUACCGCAUACAAUCCGAUGUGCCCAUAUGGGAUUAGCUAGUUGGUGGGGUAACGGCUCACCAGGGCGACGAUCCCUAGCUGGUCUGAGAGGAUGACCAGCAAGACUGGAACUGAGACACGGUCCAGCAGCCUAAGGGAGGCAGCAGUGGGGAAUAGUGCACAAUGGGCGCAAGCCUGAUGCAGCCAUGCCGCGGGUAUGAAGAAGGCCUUAGGGGUGGAAAGUACGUUCAGCGGGGAGGCGUUACCCGCAGAAGAAGCACCGGCUAACUCCGUGCCAGCAGCCGCGGUAAUAC